rnacentral:rRNA from 1 species
UACGAAGGGGCUAGCGUUGCUCGGAAUCACUGGGCGUAAAGCGCACGUAGGCGGACUCUUAAGUCAGGGGUGAAAUCCUGGAGCUCAACUCCAGAACUGCCUUUGAUACUGGGAGUCUUGAGUCCGGAAGAGGUAAGUGGAACUGCGAGUGUAGAGGUGAAAUUCGUAGAUAUUCGCAAGAACACCAGUGGCGAAGGCGGCUUACUGGUCCGGAACUGACGCUGAGGUGCGAAAGCGUGGGGAGCAAACAGG